rnacentral:rRNA from 1 species
UACGAAGGGGGCUAGCGUUGCUCGGAAUCACUGGGCGUAAAGCGCACGUAGGCGGAUCGCUAAGUCAGGGGUGAAAUCCUGGAGCUCAACUCCAGAACUGCCUUUGAUACUGGCAAUCUCGAGUCCGGGAGAGGUGAGUGGAACUGCGAGUGUAGAGGUGAAAUUCGUAGAUAUUCGCAAGAACACCAGUGGCGAAAGCGGCUCACUGGCCCGGUACUGACGCUGAGGUGCGAAAGCGUGGGGAGCAAACAGG